rnacentral:rRNA from 1 species
UACGUAGGGUGCAAGCGUUGUCCGGAAUUAUUGGGCGUAAAGAGCUCGUAGGCGGUUCGUCGCGUCGGCUGUGAAAUCCCGAGGCUCAACCUCGGGUCUGCAGUCGAUACGGGCGGACUGGAGUUCGGCAGGGGAGAAUGGAAUUCCCGGUGUAGCGGUGAAAUGCGCAGAUAUCGGGAGGAACACCGGUGGCGAAGGCGGUUCUCUGGGCCUUACCUGACGCUGAGGAGCGAAAGCGUGGGGAGCAAACAGG